rnacentral:lncRNA from 1 species
CCUUCAGCAACAACAACACACAAACCCCAUACCUUCAUCUCCCUCCUCACGCAAAUCAGUGGCAAGAACACCAAAACUCCAUUAAUGUCAAGUCAAGUUCACAUGAAAUCACCAUUUUAGGAUUCUUAUGUCGUGGGUGGGCUUUCCAAUAAGGUAAGAUUCAUCCCAAACCCUCUCCAAUUCAGUCCAAAUUUGUGUUGUAUUCUGCCUUUCUUUUAGAGCCCGUUUCUGUCCUUUACUUGCAUGUAGUAGAAUUGGGUUUAUAAGUGUUCAUGUGGUGUUUUUAGGAAUUGGAAUUGAAGAUAAGAAUCACUCCAAUCCUCUUGCUCUCUCUCAAUUUCGUGUUCCUCUAUCAAGCCCAAAUCUGAAUUACCCCUUUCACAAGAGUUUGCAAGGAAUAAGGAGCUUGCACAGUUUUGGAGUUUAAAGAAUUGAAUUGAUGAUUUUGGAGAAAUUAUAUUUAAAUCCGUAUUCUGGACAGGGUCUCACUAAAAUGGUAACUACUCUUUGUCUACAAUUCCGAAUUUAGUGUGGUUUGUUUCUAUGGUUAGCUAACGAAAUCCCGGUCGUUGUGAUACCAAGUUCACAAUUUUUGGUUUAGAAUUGAGCUCUCUGGAAGCGUUUGAUUGAAGGGAUCUGAUGCUGUCAAAAUGUGUAUUAUGGACUGCGGGUUUGCUUUGUUGGGCAGCACAAUUGAUGUUUUUUUUAGAGUGUGGAACAGCUUGGAGAUAAUAGCAAUCUCCGGUGGGUUACCUUAAGAAACUAUCACUUUAAUAGAUAGCUUUACUAGUUUUUUUUCCCCCAAAACUCAAUUAUGCAUGAUAACUUAGGUUUAGGAUUAAUUAGGAGAAACUAUGAAACUGAAUUAAUUAAUGAUUAGACCAUGCCCUAUAUGUUUGAAAUGUUGCUAAUUCAUGGAAUUUAGAAUCAAAAUGGAUUUAUGUGAGCUAAAUUGUAUUUGGAGAUUCUGUUGGAUUAUGCCGGUCGUGCUAGAACCAGUUCAUACAGACAUUGAGCCUGUGCAUGCGUUCCCAGGAACUAAAAAUUAUAUAUUCUGAGUUGAUGAGCCGUUACAUUACAUACCCUGUAUGAAUCGGUGCAUAGGCGCAAAAUGUGUUUUAUAAAAUCUGGGAACAAAUGUAUCGGUGCAUAGGCUGGAUGAGGCGGCUCAAGCAAGGCCUGGGCAUGGUUGAACCGGUGCACGGAACUCAAAAUCACUAUUUUGGAAACAACUGAGUUCCAUGAGCUGGUUCACGAGGUUUCGUGAGCCGGUGCAACCUGAGAUGAUUUUUGUAAAACCUUUUGGCUUAUGUAAGGAAGUUAUAACAAUUAUUUUUAGGAGAAUGUUAACAUGUGCACCAAGAGCACAUGUUAAGGAAACAAAAAUAGAAAGUAUUAAAUGUUGAAGCAUUAAAUUUUAACUUUUUAAGUAUUAAAUUUUUGUAUCAUUAAAUUUUAAAUUUCUAUAUUAAGAUACCUUAACAUGUGCCCUAUAGAGGGCACAUGUUAACAACACCCUUAUGUUUAUUUAACUAAAAAUCGCUCCGACAUGGAAAUAUUUAUAAAAACGAUAAGUGACUAAAUUCCAUGAUUACGGACUUUCGUACAUGUAUGAAAAUUAGUAGACAUAGGAAUUGAAUCAGGAUAUUCAGGAUAGUUAGAAUUGUCCCUGGAAGGUCUUCUUUUCUUUGGGUAGGAAAACAAUCAAGUUCAGGAUUAGAUAUCAGGAUUAUGAAUUAUUUAUCAGUAUUUAUCUGGAUGCUUGGUCAUUAGUACCAAUGUCAGGUUGCUUGGUCAUUAGCACCAUGUCACGGGAUUCAAUCAGAAUCCAAAAUCAUGUAAUAAGAAUUGUAAGCUCAUGUUGUAUUCCGACGUACAUUAUUAUCGAUAAUACCAGGUCAGGCACUCCGGGACCGGCUUACCUCGGAGUGAUCCUGUGAGGAUAAAACGAACAAGAUAAUUAAUCUGUGUUACACCAUUCAUUUAUUAUGCUUUAUGUUAUAAAAUUAUGAAAUUAUGUUAUGGACUGACUAUAAGGGUUUUGACUCAGGAUCAGAUUAGAAUGAGAGAACUAUUAGUUCAGUUGCCCCGAUGUAGUCACCAUUAGUUGGGUAGUAAGAGCUCACUGAGGCUUAGUAGUCUCAUCCCAUGCCUUUCAAUUUUUUUAGGUAAACAGGUUAAUCGGAGCAAGGACCAGGCAUGAACCGAUGAUUGAAGCUGAGCUUGGAUUAUUGGAUUAGAAGACCUUCGUCUUUUUCUUUGUUCUUGUUAAUCUGUUAUUUAGAUUUCAAUUAUCAUUUCAGCUGUUUUGUAUUGAUUAUCACAUUAUUCUUGUGAUAAUUUGCAAUGAAAUUAAUUAUUCUGUAAUUUUAAUGUAUUC